rnacentral:rRNA from 1 species
UGCCAGCCGCCGCGGUAAUACGAAGGGACCUAGCGUAGUUCGGAAUUACUGGGCGUAAAGCGUACGUAGGCGGAUUAAUAAGUUAGAGGUGAAAUCCCAGGGCUCAACCCUGGAACUGCCUUUAAAACUGUUAGUCUUGAGAUCGAGAGAGGUGAGUGGAAUUCCAAGUGUAGAGGUGAAAUUCGUAGAUAUUUAGAGGAACACCAGUGGCGAAGGCGGCUCACUGGCUCGAUACUGACGCUGAGGUACGGAAGCUAAGGUAGCAAACGGGAUUAGAUA